AUGAGAUCUACAGCUUCAAGUUCUGCCCCAGUGUGCCUGGUGCGCUGUGUGCUCCUGUGGGGACUUUUGAAGAUGCUGAUGGAACCAAAGUCAUGGCUGUGGGGGAUGAUAUUGAGCCUUACUAUGUGAGGUUUCAAAAAGUCUCCAUCUUUGGUCAAGACAAGAAACAACCUUUUAGCAUUUUGUAGGUUGGUUUGUGCCUGUAAUAGGUAGAUGCGGGUCAUGACUCGGAAUAAUGAGCUACUAGAAUGCAAUGCAACUGUUUCCUUGGUGUGCCUGUGUGAAAGAAUCGAAUAACAAGUUUAUUGAUCUUUUAAUUUUUUUUAAAUUUACUUUUAUUUUUUAAUUUUUAAAAUCUAUUUAAUUUGAUUUUAUAAUCUAAAUUGAGUUAAUAUCAUUCAGAAAUCAUAUUUUAUGAUUACAUGAUUUUAAUGACGAUUUUAUAAUUGAAAUUUAUACUGUAGGAUUACUUAAAUAAAUUUAAAUAACGAGGUUAAAUUGAACAAAUUUUACCAAAUUAAAUGAAAAGAAAAUUAAAGAAUUAAGUUGAAUCAAUUUUAAAAAUUAAAAAAAUUAAAUUCAAUCAAAAAAAUUUAAAAACUAAUUAAACAUAAAAAAUAAAUCAAAGAAUCAAUAAACUAAUUUAACCUAUCACAUUUUCAUUUUUGGUUCACAUAUAGCACAUAAGGAGUUCCCUCGUCUCCCUGUUUUAAUAUUUUCCUCAUUCAUAUAGAAAAAAGUUCCCUCGUCUCUCUGUUUUAAUAUUUUCCUCAUUCAUAUAGAAAAAAGAUCAUGUAAGUAUGAUGGAUGUUAUAAUAUGAUAGGAAAAAAAUAAAAAAUAAAAAUAUUAGCAUUGAUGGGACUCACCGAUUAGCACCUAGACUAAAGGGGUCUGUCAUAUCUGAAGAAAUAAAAAAUUAAAUUUUAAAAAUUAUGUAAAAAAUCAAAUUAAAAAUCUUUUUUUUUUAAUUUUAUUUUAUACAAUUAAAAUGAAGAAAGAAUGACAAACACAAUUGCUUUUUUUUAAUGUAUUAUUUUGUUUUGACUCAUAAAAUGUGAGGAUCGGACUGGUAGUAUUCAUGCAUCCUUAGUAACUAACUGAUUCAUGUAAACUUUUAUGGUUAUUAAAAGAUAUAGAUAGCAGUGAUUCACACAUGACAGAGCUGUUAUUAACAGGGGAUAACCAAAAAUUGAAAUUGUUUAAGGCUAAUUUGAUCGAGACUCAAAUCAAGCAUGAUCGACUCUUCUUGAGUUUAGUUAGCAUGCACUUUGCACCUACAACUAGAAGGCAAGAAGAAAGGAAGAAUUGGAACAAAACAAAGAAAAUAAAAGUAACUUGAUCAAAAUUUCAGAUUAGGCUCGUUUAAGCCUCAUAAUUUCUUUAUCAAUUCUCUUCCAUGUGCACGGGGAUAAAGCGAUAAAAUGGCUAUACCAUCUGAAAAGAUACCUUCAUUUUUAUUAUUUUAUCUGUAAAGAAACACCUGCGCAUGAGUUUUGAAUUUUAACAAUGCUUUUGUCGAGUUAACACCUUGGUCUCACUCCAGAUCCAAAAUUAUAUCGUCAAUGCGUUCCAAGAAUAAACAAAAUUUUAUUUUAAAUUAAUCACUGGUAUGCUACUCGUGACAAAUAUAAUAUGAAGAAAAACGGGAAUAGAACAAUUUUAUAUUUUGGUUCUUAUCCGAUAUCAACUUUCUGCUACACUCACCCACCUUCCUUAGAUCAAAUCAAUUUUUUUAUGCCAAUUUAAAACUAAUAGCCUCGUGACGCAAAAUUUCUAUAUGAUGAUAAUAUCCACAUCCAAAAUUUAAAAAACACCAAAAGCAUCCCCAUGUCGAAAUUUCACCUUACACAGCACUAUAUAAUGAUGCAUCAUGAGAUAUGUAACACAAGCCAAAUACACAUACACAUUAGCUUCAAUCUGAGAGAGAAACAAAAACAAUGAAGGUUUCCAUUGCCAAGUUUCACUCCCUUCCCCUAUGUUUUCUCCUUCUCUUGGCCAUCAACACACAGCCACUGCUAGCAGCUGAACCAGAGCCAGUGGUAGAUAAGCAAGGGAACCCUUUGGUGCCAGGAGUAGGGUACUAUGUGUGGCCACUUUGGGCUGAUAAUGGAGGCCUCACACUAGGCCAAACAAGGAACAAAACAUGCCCUCUUGAUGUUAUCCGUGACCCUUCAUUCAUAGGGUCCCCAGUGAGGUUCCAUGCAUCAGGCCUUAAUCACAUUCCAACACUCACUGAUCUCACCAUUGAUUUCCCUGUGGUGACAGUGUGCAACCAGCCAACAGUGUGGAGGCUGAGCAAGGAAGGAUCAGGGUUCUGGUUUGUGAGCACUAGGGGUAACCCUCAGGACCUCAUUACCAAGUUCAAGAUUGAGAGGCUUGAAGGGGAUCAUGCCUAUGAGAUCUACAGCUUCAAGUUCUGCCCUAGUGUGCCUGGUGUGCUAUGUGCUCCUGUGGGGACUUUUGUGGAUGCUGAUGGAACCAAAGUCAUGGCUGUGGGUGAUAACAUUGACCCUUACUAUGUGAGGUUCCAGAAAGUCUCCACCUUUGGUCAAGACAAGAAACAACCUUUUAGCAUAGUGUAGUUUGGUUUGGUUUUGUGCCUAGUGUAGCAGGUAGAGGGGUCAUGACUCGGAAUAAUUAAUAAGCCAGAAGAGUACCAUGCAUGCUCUCUUUUUUGGUGUGGCUGUGAGAAAGAAUCAUGAGAACUUUUGUUUU
rnacentral:lncRNA from 1 species